AAGAGACGAACAGUUCUUCCCCUCCAGAGGACAUUGUGUUCAAGGAGCUGUUCCAGAAGCAGAAACCCUCUCAGCCUUGAUUUUGGAUCCAGCUCAGGACCGUUGUGCUUAAGAUUCAUUGUUAUUGUGGCUUAUCAUCACAUCUGUUUCUAACCUCAUUAGGGCCAUCAUUCUUGGAAAGUCAUCCAGUUCAUCAAUAUCCUUUAACACUGUUUGGAUUUGUGGGUGUUCAUUCAAGCAGGAAGGGAGGCCUAUGGAGUUGACCUUUGAACAACACAAAUUUGAACCGCAGAAGUCCUCUUAUAUGUGGAUAUUUUCCUAUAAAUGUCACACUGAGUAGCCUGCCUCUCCUGCCUCCCCUUCUACCAACUUCAUUCCUUCUGGCUUUGCCACCUCUGAGACAGCAGGACAAACCCCUCCUCUUCUUCCACCUCCUCAGCCUACUCAACAUGAAGAUAAUGAGAAUGAAGGACUUUAUGAUGAUCCAUUUUCACUUAAUGAAUAGGAAAUAUAUUUUUUCUUCUUGUGAUUCUCUUAAUAACAUCUUUUUUUCCUCUAGCUUACUUUAUUGUAAGAAUACAGCAUAUAAUUUAUAUAACAUACAAAAUGUGUUAAUCAAUUGUUUAUGUUAUUGGUAAGGCUCCUGGUCGAUAGGAGGCUCUUAACAGUUAAGAUUUGGGGGAGUCAAAAUUUAUAUGUGGAUUUUUUUGAUUGUAUAGUGUGUUGAUAUCCCUAACUCCUCCAUUGUUCAAGGGUCAACUGUAUAUCUCUGUGACAUAUUUUGAUAUUUGAAAGAUUGGAUUAGAACUGAAUGAGUUAAUGUGGAAAGAUGUGUAUUCUUUAUUUAUAACAUGCUUAUGUUUUAUGUAUGUAACAAACUGUAUCUUAAAUACUCCUC
rnacentral:lncRNA from 10 species